rnacentral:rRNA from 1 species
AGAGUUUGAUCCUGGCUCAGAACGAACGCUGGCGGCAGGCUUAACACAUGCAAGUCGAACGCCCCGCAAGGGGAGUGGCAGACGGGUGAGUAACACGUGGGAACAUGCCCUUUGGUUCGGAACAACUCGGGGAAACUCGAGCUAAUACCGGAUAAGCCCUAUGGGGGAAAGAUUUAUCGCCGAAGGAUUGGCCCGCGUCUGAUUAGCUAGUUGGUGAGGUAAUGGCUCACCAAGGCGACGAUCAGUAGCUGGUCUGAGAGGAUGAUCAGCCACAUUGGGACUGAGACACGGCCCAAACUCCUACGGGAGGCAGCAGUGGGGAAUAUUGGACAAUGGGCGCAAGCCUGAUCCAGCCAUGCCGCGUGAGUGAUGAAGGCCUUAGGGUUGUAAAGCUCUUUUACCCGGGAAGAUAAUGACUGUACCGGGAGAAUAAGCCCCGGCUAACUUCGUGCCAGCAGCCGCGGUAAUACGAAGGGGGCUAGCGUUGUUCGGAUUUACUGGGCGUAAAGCGCACGUAGGCGGACUUUUAAGUCAGGGGUGAAAUCCCAGAGCUCAACUCUGGAACUGCCUUUGAUACUGGAAGUCUUGAGUAUGGAAGAGGUUGGUGGAACUGCGAGUGUAGAGGUGAAAUUCGUAGAUAUUCGCAAGAACACCAGUGGCGAAGGCGGCCNCUGGUCCAUUACUGACGCUGAGGUGCGAAAGCGUGGGGGAGCAAACAGGAUUAGAUACCCUAGUAGUCC